rnacentral:rRNA from 1 species
AACGAACGCUGGCGGCAUGCCUAACACAUGCAAGUCGAACGAAGCCUUCGGGCUUAGUGGCGCACGGGUGCGUAACACGUGGGAAUCUGCCCUUCGGUUCGGAAUAACAGUUAGAAAUGACUGCUAAUACCGGAUGAUGACGAAAGUCCAAAGAUUUAUCGCCGAAGGAUGAGCCCGCGUAGGAUUAGGUAGUUGGUAGGGUAAUGGCCUACCAAGCCGACGAUCCUUAGCUGGUCUGAGAGGAUGAUCAGCCACACUGGGACUGAGACACGGCCCAGACUCCUACGGGAGGCAGCAGUGGGGAAUAUUGGACAAUGGGCGGAAGCCUGACCCAGCCAUGCCGCGUGAAGGAAGACGGCCUUAUGGGUUGUAAACUUCUUUACUAUGCGACUAACUAGAUUUACGAGAUAAUUCUAUAGAAUGUAGCAUAGCAAAAAGCACCGGCUAACUCCGUG